rnacentral:lncRNA from 1 species
CAUUCAGGGGCUAUAUAGAGUCAGGGAUGGAAGUCCUUAAAGCUGGUUACAGUCUCUCUGGGUCGCCAGAGCAAAUGGCCUACUUGAAGCACAUGAGUCACUGGGAGGCACAGUUGCUCAACAGCCAGUUACUGAUGCAAUGACACAUAUGGACCUCAAAGCCAAAGACUAUCUUCUUUCUCGUCAUUUCUACAGCUUUGGAAGUAGCAUUUCCCCCAGGCAUAGCCACCCUAAUAAAAUUAUACACAGAAG